UGGGGAAUAUUGCGCAAUGGGCGAAAGCCUGACGCAGCAACGCCGCGUGGGGGAUGACGGCCUUCGGGUUGUAAACCCCUUUCAGCAGGGACGAAAAUGACGGUACCUGCAGAAGAAGCCCCGGCCAACUACGUGCCAGCAGCCGCGGUAACACGUAGGGGGCAAGCGUUGUCCGGAUUUAUUGGGCGUAAAGAGCUCGUAGGCGGUUGCGUAAGUCGGAUGUGAAAACUCAGGGCUCAACCCGGAGACGCCAUCCGAUACUGCGCUGACUAGAGUCCGGUAGAGGAGCAUGGAAUUCCUGGUGUAGCGGUGAAAUGCGCAGAUAUCAGGAGGAACACCAGUGGCGAAGGCGGUGCUCUGGGCCGGUACUGACGCUGAGGAGCGAAAGCGUGGGUAGCGAACAGGAUUAGAUACCCCCGUAGUCC
rnacentral:rRNA from 1 species